GGACUACUCGGGUAUCUAAUCCUGUUUGCUCCCCACGCUUUCGCACCUCAGCGUCAGUACCGGGCCAGUGAGCCGCCUUCGCCACUGGUGUUCUUGCGAAUAUCUACGAAUUUCACCUCUACACUCGCAGUUCCACUCACCUCUCCCGGACUCGAUAUCCCCAGUAUCAAAGGCAGUUCCGAGGUUGAGCCUCGGGAUUUCACCCCUGACUUAAGGAUCCGCCUGCGUGCGCUUUACGCCCAGUAAUUCCGAACAACGCUAGCCCCCUUCGUAUUACCGCGGCUGCUGGCAC
rnacentral:rRNA from 1 species